rnacentral:rRNA from 1 species
UACGAAGGGGGGCUAGCGUUGCUCGGAAUCACUGGGCGUAAAGGGUGCGUAGGCGGGUCUUUAAGUCAGAGGUGAAAUCCUGGAGCUCAACUCCAGAACUGCCUUUGAUACUGAGGAUCUUGAGUACGGGAGAGGUGAGUGGAACUGCGAGUGUAGAGGUGAAAUUCGUAGAUAUUCGGAAGAACACCAGUGGCGAAGGCGGCCCGCUGGACAUGUAUUGACGCUGAGGUGCGAAAGCGUGGGGAGCAAACAGG